rnacentral:rRNA from 1 species
AGCGAACGCUGGCGGCAGGCUUAACACAUGCAAGUCGAGCGGGCACUUUCGGGUGUCAGCGGCGGACGGGUGAGUAACGCGUGGGAACGUGCCCUCUGGUUCGGAAUAACUCAGGGAAACUUGAGCUAAUACCGGAUACGCCCUUUUGGGGAAAGGCUUGCUGCCGGAGGAUCGGCCCGCGUCUGAUUAGCUAGUUGGUGAGGUGACGGCUCACCAAGGCGACGAUCAGUAGCUGGUCUGAGAGGAUGAUCAACCACACUGGGACUGAGACACGGCCCAGACUCCUACGGGAAGCAGCAGUGGGGAAUAUUGGACAAUGGGCGCAAGCCUGAUCCAGCCAUGCCGCGUGAGUGAUGAAGGCCUUAGGGUUGUAAAGCUCUUUUAUCCGGGACGAUAAUGACGGUACCGGAGGAAUAAGCCCCGGCUAACUUCGUG